AGAGUUUGAUCAUGGCUCAGGACGAACGCUGGCGGCGUGCCUAACACAUGCAAGUCGAGCGGAGAGUGCAGAAAUGUUUACAUGGAAGUAUUCUUAGCGGCGGACGGGUGAGUAACACGUGGGUAACCUGCCUCAAAGUGGGGGAUAGCCUUCCGAAAGGAAGAUUAAUACCGCAUAAGCCUACAGUGCCGCAUGGCACAGCAGGAAAAGGAGCAAUCCGCCUUGAGAUGGACCCGCGGCGCAUUAGCUAGUUGGUGAGGUAACGGCUCACCAAGGCGACGAUGCGUAGCCGACCUGAGAGGGUGAUCGGCCACAUUGGAACUGAGACACGGUCCAGACUCCUACGGGGCGCAGCAG
rnacentral:rRNA from 1 species